CCGUUUAUAACCCUAGGUGGCGGACGGCGGCCGGCGGCCGGCUGACGGCGAGCUCCGGCGUCCGUUUCACGUGGGCAGCUCCGGCUCAAAUUGGCCGGCGGCUAAGCGAGCUCCUCGUCUUGCCCAGUACUCGGCCUCUCCGCUAAGGCCCCCAAUCCUCUGCUCUGGCGAGGGACUCCAGCAGGAGCUGUCUGCCAUGGCAUUAAUAUAAGCAGGGGAUCUGGGCAUCUCUGUAUUGGAAAGAGCUUACACCUUACAGUAUCUCUGUAUUGUGAUUCAGACAAGGAAAUGGCUACUACACUACACAACGGAGGAAUGAAUUGUAGAAAAUACUGAAGCGUGGAUCCGCAGAAUAAAGCUCCAUGUGAUUCCAUGUUAAACUGUCCAAAUGCAAAAAUUUAAGCUCCAUGUGGUUCCGAUAUGCUGCAAAUAGCUACCAGUGUACUAUCACACGGAGAUGACUGAUUAUUCACAGGUCAGCUGGCAGGUGCUAAUCGAGGGGGAAGAUCGAAACAUAUUCCACGCUAGUGCUAUGGACUGCUGAGAUUUGAAGGAACAUGGCAUGAUUAGUCGACCUGUAGAAUGAUGUUGUGAUAUUCUCAGCACAACGGAAGUGGCAAUCAAAGGGUGUAAUUGUGUUUCCUGAGGAGCCCAGUGAGGAAUAAUGCACUGCAGGAAAUAUAAAUCAGCAGAGCAUCACAACAAGGUGAAGGGUAUCGGUAUGUCUUUAGAAACGGCCACACAGUCCCAUGGAACAUCAGACAUGUAUGCGGAAGCUGAUGCCAAAUACCAGAAUUGACUAGCGUUGUUGCCCAGACAAGAGGC